UAGGGAAUCUUCCGCAAUGGGCGAAAGCCUGACGGAGCAACGCCGCGUGAGUGAUGAAGGUCUUCGGAUCGUAAAACUCUGUUAUUAGGGAAGAACAAAUGUGUAAGUAACUAUGCACGUCUUGACGGUACCUAAUCAGAAAGCCACGGCUAACUACGUGCCAGCAGCCGCGGUAAUACGUAGGUGGCAAGCGUUAUCCGGAAUUAUUGGGCGUAAAGCGCGCGUAGGCGGUUUUUUAAGUCUGAUGUGAAAGCCCACGGCUCAACCGUGGAGGGUCAUUGGAAACUGGAAAACUUGAGUGCAGAAGAGGAAAGUGGAAUUCCAUGUGUAGCGGUGAAAUGCGCAGAGAUAUGGAGGACCAUCAGUGGCGAAGGCGACUUUCUGGUCUGUAACUGACGCUGAUGUGCGAAAGCGUGGGGAUCAAACAGG
rnacentral:rRNA from 1 species